ACAUUGGUGGUUCAGUGGCAGAAUUCUCGCCUUCCAUGUGGAAGACCCAGGUGUGAUUCCAGGCCAAUGCA
rnacentral:tRNA from 1 species